UACGAAGGGAGCUAGCGUUACUCGGAAUUACUGGGCGUAAAGCGCGUGUAGGCGGUGGGGCAAGUCAGGGGUGAAAUCCCAGAGCUUAACUCUGGAAUUGCCUUUGAAACUGCGGUGCUUGAAUCAGGGAGAGGGUAGUGGAAUUCCACGUGUAGGAGUGAAAUCCGUAGAUAUGGGGGGGAACACCAGCGGCGAAGGCGGCUACCUGGACCGUGAUUGACGCUGAGACGCGAAAGCGUGGGGAGCAAACAGG
rnacentral:rRNA from 1 species